rnacentral:rRNA from 1 species
GACGAACGCUGGCGGCGUGCUUAACACAUGCAAGUCGAACGGAAAGGCCCUGCUUUUGUUGGGUGCUCGAGUGGCGAACGGGUGAGUAACACGUGAGUAACCUGCCCUUGACUUUGGGAUAACUUCAGGAAACUGGGGCUAAUACCGGAUAUGAUCUCCUGCUGCAUGGUGUGGGUUGGAAAGUUUCGGCGGUUGGGGAUGGACUCGCGGCUUAUCAGCUUGUUUGGGGGGUAGUGGCUUACCAAGGCUUUGACGGGUAGCCGGCCUGAGAGGGUGACCGGCGACAUUGGGACUGAGAGACGGCCCAGACUCCUACGGGAGGCAGCAGUGGGGAAUAUUGCACAAUGGGCGGAAGCCUGAUGCAGCAACGCCGCGUGCGGGAUGACGGCCUUCGGGUUGUAAACCGCUUUCGCCUGUGACGAAGCGUGAGUGACGGUAAUGGGUAAAGAAGCACCGGCUAACUACGUG